AGUGAACGCUGGCGGUAUGCCUAACACAUGCAAGUCGAACGGCAGCACAGUAAGAGCUUGCUCUUACGGGUGGCGAGUGGCGGACGGGUGAGGAAUACAUCGGAAUCUACUUUUUCGUGGGGGAUAACGUAGGGAAACUUACGCUAAUACCGCAUACGACCUACGGGUGAAAGCAGGGGAUCUUCGGACCUUGCGCGAUUGAAUGAGCCGGUGUCGGAUUAGCUAGUUGGCGGGGUAAAGGCCCACCAAGGCGACGAUCCGUAGCUGGUCUGAGAGGAUGAUCAGCCACACUGGAACUGAGACACGGUCCAGACUCCUACGGGAGGCAGCAGUGGGGAAUAUUGGACAAUGGGCGCAAGCCUGAUCCAGCCAUACCGCGUGGGUGAAGAAGGCCUUCGGGUUGUAAAGCCCUUUUGUUGGGAAAGAAAAGCAGCAGGUUAAUACCCCGCUGUUCUGACGGUACCCAAAGAAUAAGCACCGGCUAACUUCGUG
rnacentral:rRNA from 1 species